rnacentral:rRNA from 1 species
UAAUACGUAGGUGGCAAGCGUUGUCCGGAAUUAUUGGGCGUAAAGCGCGCGCAGGUGGUUCCUUAAGUCUGAUGUGAAAGCCCCCGGCUCAACCGGGGAGGGUCAUUGGAAACUGGGGAACUUGAGUGCAGAAGAGGAUAGUGGAAUUCCAAGUGUAGCGGUGAAAUGCGUAGAGAUUUGGAGGAACACCAGUGGCGAAGGCGACUGUCUGGUCUGUAACUGACACUGAGGCGCGAAAGCGUGGGGAGCAAACAGG